AUUUUUAUUCCUUUAUUGUUGUUUCUUUUAUCUACAUGUAAGCCAGGGGGUGAGAAAAGGACCCAGAAUUCAAACAUGGGGAAGAUCUGGAUGAACUUGGGAACUAUUCUAGUAUUUUAGAGUCUGGAGAAUACUGUAGGGAAAAGUAUUCCGAAAACAAAGACCCGAGAAGAAUGCUGAAGCAGCUUUCUCUGGAGACACACCCUGCACAGUAAAGGAGUUCCCAGACACCUUUCUGCCUGGAUCCAGCUACUUUUCUUUGAGUUGGAGAACAAUAUUUGGAAACCUCUGACUGACAACAGCACACUGAUGAGUAGAUAUCCUUUGAUGUGGAGUGAAUGAUCAUGCCAUCAACCUUCAUAGUGCUGGCCAGUGAGAAACCUCUGAAAAUAACAUGAAAAGAACAAGAACAUAAGUGAUCAGUACAGAAAAGGCAAAACUUCGUAAUAAUAAGAUAAACAGACAAAGAUAAAAAUUAAGUUACAAAAGCAAAAGUUAUAAAAAUUUGUAAUCUUUAAAAUUCUUGUAGUGUUAUAGCAUGUUGUUACAUUCACGAAAUUUCAUUUUUAUUAAUAAAACUAUUUAAUUGAUAAUAAAAUGAGGGAAAUUCCAUUAAAGUAAGCAUUGCCUAUGGUGUCACCACUGUACAAGUUUGGUAAUAUCUGAAUACUCAAACUAUUUCAGUAAAGGAAAAAAGAAAACACAUGAAAAAUUGUUGUGUAUAACUGAGCAUAUGCAAAGAUACCCUUCCCAAAAAUUAUGAACAAAAAAUUUUAAAGAAUUUAAAAGAAAAAAUGAAAUGUCAAGAGUAAUUUUUUUAAUGUGACUGAUCCUAAAAUUCUGUAUUUUACUCUAUCUUUAGCAACUGUGAAAGAUAAGACACAGCACAUCAAAAUUCAACUAUCAUAUGGUUUCACUUGGUUCUUUUUAACAGUUUCCUGUAGUCAACAACAAGCUAAACCAUAUUAGUGGGAGAAAUCAAAAGAAACAUAAAACUCUAAAAGAAAAAGAUAUAUAUUCCAAAGAAAAAAAACUUAAAAAAAUCUAAUAAAACACCCAAAAUAAGAGCUAAUUACUGUCUGGCAGAACUAAUUAAUGAAAAAAGAAUUCAAAGCUGAAUGAAAGCUUUAUUACAUCUCCAUUACUAUGGAAUAACACCUUGAGGUACUUGUACAAAAAAGCUGGCUUUUGUUCAUUUUUCUUUUCUUUUUCUUUCUUUUUUUUUUUUUUUUGGAACAAUGACUUCUGGGGAUUUGUGUUUCUUUUUCCAAAAAUUAUACCUUAAUAGUGUAAAUACAAUAAAUAAAUGCACUAUUAAGCUUUUCCUAAGACUCUUAAUGAUAAUUUUCAAGAAAGAAUCUCAAACUCAACUAUAAUGGUGGAAGAAGCUUCUAUUUUUGAGAAUACUGUGUUAAUCCUAUAUAGCUAUAGCCCAAGAGCCAGGAUUUGACUUUCAAGUCCUAAAAAAGUCAUUAUCAAGAGGCUCUACUUUAGUCAUGUAACUGCAAAUUUGAUCCAGGUUUCCUUUUCUAAAUAGGGGCUAUCAAAAAGAAUAAAGGACCAGCCAUACUUAACAAUCUUUAAGUGUAUGGGAAAUACGAUGUCCACGUAUAGCUCAUUAUCUGAGUGGGGUGUUUGGUUUGCCUAAUCUUCAACAAUUAAAUAGGGCAAUACACAAAAACUAAGGCCCGCUCAAACUUUUACAUUUUCACUCAGAAAAAGAAGAUGCUCAGAUCUUGUGAAUUACCUGUCCUGUUUCAUAGGUAGCACCUGUAUUGCUGCUACACAUCUGUGGAAGCACAAUAUCAGCCAACUGUUAAUCAAGGAUCACUUCCCUUCAAAGUGACUGAUGAUCCACUGUUAAAACAGCUUAUAAAAAUAACUUCUCCUUCGAAAAGGUGCUUCAGGGUUUUCAGACACAUCUCACCAUUCCUGCUAGCUUAAUGCAUGUUUGAAAGUUAAUUUCUCAUUAAUAUUUAAAGAAGUGGCUUCAGAACAAAUUUUAAAUGAUCCAUUACAUUUUAGAAAUAAAAUAUUAUUGGCAUUAUUUUCAUCUCGAUUACAAGGAAUAAUAAUGUCCAAGAUUGGCUUUUAAAACUGUUAAUGAGCCCUGGCAAUGUGAAAAAGAUAUGGAUUAGGUAGAUGUAAUGAGAUAUGAUUAAAGGGUGCAGGCACUGAAGGGUGUUGGAGAAAUUCUUUUCUGAAAGAGUAUAAUUAGUGUCUGAUAAAAGUACUUAGUAGAUAAGAUUUUUGAAGAAGAAAGGUUAAGAUAAACACAUACUUUAUGACAAACCUGCUUAAUUUUUCCCCUUUGGUUCUCUUACGUACUCAAUAUUAUGUUGAAGUUUCAUACAUAAAUAAUGUUUGUCAAAUACUUCAUGCAAUUCUACCAGACAAUUAGAGUGUUUUAAUUGCCAGACACGGAGAGCAGAAAAUGUGUUGAAACAUCUUAUUCCAUUUUCAGUGUACAUUUCUUUGUUGAUUUAUGUAAUGUAGCUAAUAAUAUGCAACCUACCCUAGUUUUAAACAAACAAAUGAACUUCUAAAAAGCAAGCUUUCCAUAAGUUGCUAAGCAACUCCAAAGGCACAUUUUAUCAAUUUAAUAAAUAACAUUUAGAUGGCAAAUCCUUAAGGAAAAUUUCUAACUCUGUUUUAUAAGAAGUAGAAAAUCCAAGCAGGUACCCUUUUGAUUUUCCUGUUUCUAAGGCCUUGGGGCUAGACAGAGGCACUGCUGUCUUCAGAGUGCAGUGGACUCACUAAACAAAACAUUUUGUCAGCUGAGGUUGUUAUAUAAUAGAAGUUACGUUCUGCGACUCAUUGUAUUAGCUCUCCAGAGUUAGAGCUCAUGCUUCAUUUUGGACCAGGGAAUUUGUUGCUGGGAUGGGGGUAGGGUCUCCCAUGUUUAGCACUAUCUAUCCCUGGCUUCUACUCACUAGAUGCCAGUAGUGGCCCGCUAGUCGUUAAAACUAAAAAUGCCUCCGGACCUUGCCAAAUGUGACUGUGGUGGGGGCAGGGAGGGUGGUAGGGUGUCAAAAUCACACCCAGUUGAGACAGUUGAGAACCACUACAGAUGAAUAAUGAGUAAACAUGCUCUGAGAAAGAUAUCGUGAGCUUAAAUGGAAAAGGAAAUAUUGUGAUAUUAGUUUCCAUUAGUCAACACCUAAUAUCUCCUAUAGAACCACCAACAAUGAAGAAUAAAGGAGUAGUACUGACUUUAGGAGUACUGUGGCUCUUGCUCCUUUCAAGGAUCACUGUUGAUUUUAUCAUUUCAAUGUAAUUCCCACUGUAUAAAAAUUGAGGAGAAAAAGUCUUGUCAUAGCUCUGUCUUUGUAGUAAUAUUCCAAUCCAGAACUACCCCAAAAUCUUUUCCCCUACCCUUUCUCCCUCAAUUUUUACUUUACUGGGUUGCUGGCCAGAGUCAUUCUAAACAUAAAUCUUAAUUUUAAUAAAGCCAUUCUCUGGCCAUAGGGCCACAGUAGGUCUCUAUCACUUCUACUAUCAAAUACAAACACAUGUUGUUUAAGGUUUCCUACAAAUUACCACCAAACCCCAUCUUACCAAAUAUCUUUCUCAUUCUCCAUUUAUACCACCUUUACUGCCUCAAAAACAAACAGCUUGUGUACGCUAAUCUUCCUAUGUGACACAUAAAGGACAAUUCAUUUCCUCCAUGA
rnacentral:lncRNA from 1 species